rnacentral:rRNA from 1 species
GGAGUGAACGCUGGCGGUAGGCCUAACACAUGCAAGUCGAACGGCAGCACAGUGGUAGCAAUACCAUGGGUGGCGAGUGGCGGACGGGUGGGGAAUACAUCGGAAUCUACCUUUUCGUGGGGGAUAACGUAGGGAAACUUACGCUAAUACCGCAUACGCCCUUUGGGGGAAAGCCGGGGAUCGGCAAGACCUGGCGCGGAUAGAUGAGCCGAUGUCGGAUUAGCUAGUUGGUGAGGUAAUGGGCUCACCAAGGCGACGAUCCGUAGCUGGUCUGAGAGGAUGAUCAGCCACACUGGAACUGAGACACGGUCCAGACUCCUACGGGAGGCAGCAGUGGGAAUAUGGACAUGGGCGCAAGCCUGAUCCAGCCAUACCGCGUGGUGAAGAGGCGUUCGGUUGUAAGCCGUUUAGU